CCUCCCGGCGGGCUUUGCGCGCGGUGCCGCCCCUGCCGCCCUUAGGGCCGGGCGGGGAAGAUGGCGGCGGGGCCGGGAAAGCACAAGCUGCUGAGCGCCGGCCCUACCGAGCCCUGGUCCAUCCGCGAGAAGCUCUGCCUGGCCUCCUCCGUCAUGCGCAGCGGCGACCAGAACUGGGUCUCAGUCAGCAGAGCCAUCAAACCUUUUGCAGAGCCAGGACGCCCACCUGACUGGUUUUCCCAAAAGCACUGUGCAUCUCAGUACUCAGAGCUCUUGGAGACCACAGAGACCCCAAAAAGGAAACGUGGUGAGAAGGGGGAAGUUGUGGAGACAGUGGAAGAUGUUAUCGUGCGGAAACUGACUGCAGAGAGGGUUGAGGAGUUGAAGAAAAUUAUUAAAGAAACACAGGAAAAGUACAGGCAGCUCAAGAAGGAUGCAGAGCUGAUCCAGGCCGGACACAUGGAUAACAGACUGGAGGAGCUGUGCAAUGAGAUUAUGAUAAAGAAAAAAAUGGAAGAGGAGGAGGCAGAAGUAAAGAGGAAGGCUACAGAUGCUGCUUAUCAAGCUCGCCAGGCCAUUAAGAACCCACCUCGAAGGCUCACGGGGGUGAUGGUUCGUUCUCCUGCAGGCUCCACCUCCCCGGGCGGGGAUUAUUCCCUCGGAGAUCUGUCCCAGCCCGCUGGGGAUGAGGCCAGUCCCGGGGUCACGCCAGGGACAUUGCCCAGCACCCCAGUUGCCUCCUUCAUUGGAAUCCCUGACACCCCUCCAGGCUCUGCUCCCCUGGAUGCCCCCAUGACCCCAGUCACUGAUGAUUCACCCCAGAAAAAGAUGCUAGGACAAAAAGCAACUCCGCCUCCUUCCCCUCUGCUCUCAGAGCUGCUGAAGAAGGGCAGUCUCCUGCCCACAAGCCCCAGGCUGGUUGGUGAAAAUGAAAUGGCAGUGGCUUCUGGUCACAUGAACAGCUCUGGAGUGCUGCUGGAGGUAGGAAGUGUCCUUCCAGUGCUGCACAGUGGGGAAAUGCAGUCAGCACCUGGUGCUGUCCCUGCAUCUCCAGCUGCUUCAGGUGCUCCUACGCUUUCCCGGCUUUUAGAAGCUGGUCCUGCACAGUUCACCUCACCUCUUGCUUCCUUCUCCGCUGUUGCCAGCGAGCCUCCAGCUAAGCUCCUGCCACCCCCAGUAGAGCCUGUGUCCCAGGCCACUAUUGUCAUGAUGCCCACGCUGUCAGCACCAGCCGUUGUGCCACCAGCUGCAGCUGCAGAAAGCGUAGCCACAGUGAGCCAGCCAGAAGCCUGUGUUUCCAUGGAGGCAGUGUCUGAUUCCCAUACUGUGACAGUGUCCAUGGACAGCAGUGAAAUAUCAAUGAUCAUUGAUUCCAUCAAGAAAGAGUGCCUGGGUUCUGGGGCUGGCAGCACUGCAGGAUCUUCCAAAGAUCAUUGCAUGGAUGGGAAGGAAGAUCUGGAUUUGGCUGAAAAAAUGGAUAUUGCAGUGUCCUAUACGGGGGAAGAGCUGGACUUUGAUACGGUUGGAAAUAUUAUAGCCAUCAUUGAGGACAAGGUAGACGACCACCCUGAAGUCCUGGAUGCAGCAGUUGUUGAAGCUGCUCUGUCUUCUUUCUGUGAAGAUACUGAUGACCCUCAGACCCUUCCUGGCCCAUGGGAGCAUUCAAUUCGUCAGGAGCAUGACAAACAGGCCCAGAUGCCACAAGUGUCUGUGACUGUGAAGCAGGAGAGACUGGAGUGUGAGGAGCCAGAGGCAAAGGGAAUUCGAGAUCUAAUGGGCAUCAGUGAGCUGGGGUCAGAAAUAAAGACUGAACUUGCAGAGCAGGACCAGAGUCAGCUGGGCCCUGAAGAAACCAUACCAGCAACUGCCAGAGUGACAGAAACUCCAGAGCUUAGAAACCAAGAGAUAGAAGAAGAUCAAAGAGCAGCUAUAACAACAGGAGAGACUUCUGAAAUCAAAAUAGAGUCAUCCCAGGGAGAAGAUGCAGUGCUCAAUCCAGUGAAGACAGAGACCCCACCUGAUGAUGAUUCAUCCCCUCCACAAGUCCCAAAUGUGAGUGAAGACUCCUCACAGGCUGAUGUUCAGCACAAAUUUGAGCUGUCAGAAUCAAUGAAGGAGGAGGCCCAAGCCCUGUUUAGGAGUCAGAUAAAGGAUGGGCAGGGUGAGGAGGAUGAUGAGGACGGUGCCAGUGAGGCUGCCAGUUUGGAGGAGCCCAAAGAAGAAGACCAGGGUGAGGGGUAUCUCUCAGAGAUGGAUAACGAGCCCCCCGUGAGCGAGAGCGACGACGGCUUCAGCGUCCACAACGCGCCCUUGCAGUCGCACGCGCUCGCCGACUCCAUCCCCAGCAGCCCGGCCUCCUCGCAGUUCUCAGUGUGCAGUGAGGACCAGGAAGCAAUACAGGCUCAGAAGAUCUGGAAGAAAGCCAUCAUGCUGGUUUGGAGAGCAGCAGCUAAUCACAGGUAUGCCAAUGUCUUCUUACAGCCUGUAACUGAUGACAUAGCACCAGGCUAUCACAGCAUUGUGCAGAGGCCAAUGGAUUUAUCUACCAUCAAAAAGAACAUUGAGAACGGGCUGAUCCGAACCACGGCCGAGUUCCAGCGGGAUAUUAUGCUGAUGUUUCAGAAUGCAGUGAUGUACAACAGCUCUGACCAUGAUGUGUACCACAUGGCUGUGGAGAUGCAGAGAGAUGUUCUGGAGCAGAUCCAGCAAUUUCUGGCCACACAACUGAUGAUGCAAACAUCAGAGUCAGGGAUCAGUGCAAAGAGCCUGCGGGGGCGAGACUCCACUCGCAAGCAGGAUGCUUCAGAGAAGGACAGUGUCCCAAUGGGCUCUCCUGCCUUCCUUCUCUCUCUCUUUCUGCCCCUUCCACACGUCCGAGGCAGUACAAAAGGUCUUGGGAGAGUGAGGAGUCAGCCGUGUGUCCUUUUUCUGUUCCUGGUUCAGAAAGCAAAAAAGACUCUGCAGAAAUAUCUUGCUCUGUGCCCGUGGUGAUCUGGAAGUGUUUGGAAAAAUAUUCCCUCUGGGAAACCCCAAGUGUCUGAGUUACUGUGAGGAGAGAGAGGAGGAAGAUGGAGAGCUGUCCUUAUCUCUCACAUGUAUCUAAAGACAGAGGAGUACUCCAGGAGAGGCAGCAGAUCAGCCAGAGAGAGGAUCAGAGGAAGCUCUCAGCUCACCUUCUGCUCGUGGAAAGGAGCUGUGUGGAGGAACUAGGGAGCUAGUGCCAGGGUCACUCAGCUGGAGGAGCACUUCCCAUAGGGAUCAGCAGCUGAUAAGGACGGAGGCACCAGAGGGCGGCGCUGCGCCAUCGAGGCAGACAUGAAGAUGAAGAAAUGAUGCUGCAGACACAAAAUCCCAGCAGAAUUCCAGGCAUCCGGAGCUGGAGUGUGAGCAGGCAGCUCUUAACAGCUGUUGGAGGAAGAAAAAAGCUGCAGGUCCAUUUCUGGGACCUGGUUCACCACCUUCGCUUGCCCUUCUGGAAAGCAGUGUCUUGUCAGAAUGUGUAACCCAAAGAAACUUCCCUAGAGGGGAAGACCAGCCCCCCUGCCUGUUUUAGGGCAGUUGUCUUGGGCUUCAUCAGUGUUCUGGUGUUAGCUAGCAGCUGGUGGCUCGUACGUACUGUAAUGUGAAGUGUACAGAUUUUUACUAGUGAUGUGUAAAUGUGAUGUAUAUUAAAAUCUGGGAACAAA